AUGGCUCGUCUUCCUUUAAGUGCGAGGCGUGGAAGGAGAAAUGCAAUAUUUUUUAAUCUGACCACUUCCAUUAUGCUUGUAUACUAUUAUGUGUGGUUCAUGUUUGCAUUAGCUUAUAGGAGAAAAUGUUGGCAAAUAGAAAGGAGAAUUAAAAUUAGAGAGUUAAGGGGAGAGAACUUGUAUCGACUAAUUGGUGAGAGCGAC
rnacentral:rRNA from 1 species